ACCCACUUCCUCCACCUUCUCCCCGAACCAAUCUCCAUCUCUCUCCCAAUCCCGAACUACCUGGCAUCCCUCCCUCCCGCGAGUCUAAGACCACCCAGCGGCGGCCCCUCUCUCCGCCGAGAAAAAUCGCCGGAUCGCCGCCCCAAGCCCCCAAAACUCCUGCCACGGUUGAGGUCUCCGGUGUAGGAGGAUCCGCAGCCCGCGGUGGGUCUUCUCCCCUGCACCCCGAGCUCCGAUGGCCUCGAUCUGGGAGCCGAGUGGAGGCGCGGUGGUGCCAAGCAUGGCGACGCUGAUCCUGAUAGCGUCCUGGCCACGGUCGCCGACGGCACGCCUUCACAAGAGUCCCGCACGGCACGGGAUCCAAUGGAGAGGGUGGCACACUGGCUGCACCGAUGAGUUCGCAGCCAUCAUGCACGUCGACAUUAGCUGCGGCACGUACGAGCCCUGCAGCAUCGGCCUAGGUUACUGCACCGGCGACCUCUGUGGUACAUGCGAUGAUGCCAGCGCAGAUCCACAAGAUUAGAUGCGUGCACUUGCUGGUGAUGAUAGCCAUCUUGGACGCCUUGUUCGUGGACCCCGGCUUGCUUAAGUGCAUAUUGUUGAUUGGUCCGGCUUACAAAGAGGAGUACUAGCUUCCCGAGUCUCUUACAGAGGCACUCAAAUGGUCAAAGCAUGACUAUAUUAGUAUAACCAACUACAUCAGCCGUGAGGAUCUUCAGGUUUGCUCUAGAAUUAGACCUUGUAGGUAUUCUAAACUGAUAUAUAUACUGGCAUGGCAUGUAUGCGGAAUUAAAAAUCUUAGCUUCAAUUGCUUCUGACGCAUAAUAAUGUCUUCCAACUCUAUAAUAUUUAUUUCCUGUGCCGAUACUAUUAACCUGUUCCUUGAUUUAUAUCUUCUCUAACUGGUUCAUUAUGUUUGUUGUGACUUCAUCAGAGUAUUCGUUAACAAAUAGAGAUGUAUACUCCGAAUGCCUUUUCUUACAAUUGUAUAUGGGUGAUUGUGAUGCACAUAUUUCUAGCAGCAGCAGUGCUACCUGCUAUUGUGAGUCUGUACAAAGGCUGGUGCGACCGUCUUGGAGGUGAUGUCGUUUUUGGGAAGGUUGUAUUGGAUAUCUAUAUGCUUUCGGCCGGGUGAAAAAAACCAUGUAUAAAGAGUCCAACGUUUGAGAUUCUAGCAUGAAAAGAGGAUAUGCUGACUGAACUUGACCAAUCUGGUGCUACAUUUAGAUUGAA